UACGGAGGGUGCAAGCGUUGUUCGGAAUUACUGGGCGUAAAGGGCGCGUAGGCGGCCGGUCAAGUCAGAUGUGAAAGUCCUGGGCUCAACCUGGGGACUGCAUUUGAUACUGACUGGCUUGAAUCCGAGAGAGGAUAGCGGAAUUCCCAGUGUAGAGGUGAAAUUCGUAGAUAUUGGGAAGAACACCAGUGGCGAAGGCGGCUAUCUGGACCGGCAUUGACGCUGAGGCGCGAAAGCGGGGGGAGCAAACAGG
rnacentral:rRNA from 1 species